rnacentral:rRNA from 1 species
GACGAACGCUGGCGGCGUGCUUAACACAUGCAAGUCGAGCGACGCUCUUCCUUCGGGGAGAUGACGGAGCGGCGAACGGGUGAGUAACACGUGGGCAACCUGCCCCUAGCUCUGGGACAACACCGGGAAACCGGUGCUAAUACCGGAUACGACAUCGAGCGGCAUCUCUCGAUGUGGAAAGUUUUUUCGGCUAGGGAUGGGCCCGCGGCCUAUCAGCUUGUUGGUGGGGUAAUGGCCCACCAAGGCGACGACGGGUAGCCGGCCUGAGAGGGCGACCGGCCACACUGGGACUGAGACACGGCCCAGACUCCUACGGGAGGCAGCAGUGGGGAAUAUUGCGCAAUGGGCGAAAGCCUGACGCAGCGACGCCGCGUGAGGGAGGACGGCCUUCGGGUUGGAAACCUCUUUCAGCAGGGACGAAUUCAGACGGUACCUGCAGAAGAAGCACCGGCCAACUACGUG